rnacentral:misc_RNA from 1 species
CACUCCGGGAUAUGAUUCAAAUAGCAGAAUAGAGACCAAUCUUGCCUCGUAACUAUACUGUAAUAGUCAAUAUAAAGCCUUUGUUUAUGAAUAAUAUUUGUAAACUUAUACAGAAAUAAUUUUUUAAUUAUAAAAAAAGUGAGUUGAACUCCGAAGCGUGCUAUGUUCAUUAGAAUUUUAGUAUUAUUAUUAUUGAUUAUAGAAAAUGUUACUGUGGGUCUGUUUCGACGGUUGAUGUUAAAGUUUAUCUCGCACAUAAGUUAUAGAUAGGUUUAUCAGUAGAAAGAUUUCAACUUAAAUAAUGAUUUACAACUUAUGAAUUAAGUUUCCGAAUAAAAACUCUUGAAAAUGAAAGUAGAGUUCGAUUAUGAAACAGAAAAAUAUGUUAUAACUCGACUUUCAUCUGUUGGAUAUCGUUAUACGUCAGAUAGCUUUAUCAAGAACCGGCGAAACAAGCGUUGUAUUAAAUAUUAUAAUUAGUAAAUGCUUAGAAUAUGAAUUUGAUUUAUUUCUGUGGCAUUUCUACGUUCAAAUGGUACUUAUUAAGACUUGUUGCAACUUUUUAACAGCACAUGUGGUACGUUACAGGUGAUUAUAGUAGAGAAUAAUAAAUAAUAAUGUUUUGAUAUAU